GUCACUAGCCGACAAAAGGAAACCUAUAAAAGGAGAAAUACUCUCUUCUAGGUUUAAGUUUUUCUAAGUUUUACAGAGCCCAUUGUAAAAACCCUAUUUCUCUGGAUCUCAGAUCAUCAAUUGGCGCCGUCUGUGGGAAACGAGGUUGAUCUUUUCAUCACCGGAGUUUCCAUUCUUGCAAAACCCACUGAGAUCCACAAUGGCUAACCCCACUGAAAACAAUAGCACCCACAACGACCUGAACUCUGCCCAAGAAGGACAGCAGUUCUCUUUUUCUAGUCCUACGACUACCAAUAACCAACCACCCAUUCCUUUUAACCCUUCGCCAAGCUUGACAGGGAACGCGCCCGCAGUGGCCUUGUCCAACCAGGACCUCCAAACUAUCGCAUUCCAGCUACAAAGCACC
rnacentral:lncRNA from 1 species